UGCGGAGGGUGCAAGCGUUAAUCGGAAUUACUGGGCGUAAAGCGCACGCAGGCGGUCUGUCAAGUCGGAUGUGAAAUCCCCGGGCUCAACCUGGGAACUGCAUUCGAAACUGGCAGGCUAGAGUCUUGUAGAGGGGGGUAGAAUUCCAGGUGUAGCGGUGAAAUGCGUAGAGAUCUGGAGGAAUACCGGUGGCGAAGGCGGCCCCCUGGACAAAGACUGACGCUCAGGUGCGAAAGCGUGGGGAGCAAACAGG
rnacentral:rRNA from 1 species